GAUGAACGCUGGCGGCGUGCCUAAUACAUGCAAGUCGAGCGAAUGGAUUAAGAGCUUGCUCUUAUGAAGUUAGUGGCGGACGGGUGAGUAACACGUGGGUAACCUGCCCAUAAGACUGGGAUAACUCCGGGAAACCGGGGCUAAUACCGGAUAACAUUUUGAACCGCAUGGUUCGAAAUUGAAAGCCGGCUUCGGCUGUCACUUAUGGAUGGACCCGCGUCGCAUUAGCUAGUUGGUGAGGUAACGGCUCACCAAGGGAACGAUGCGUAGCCGACCUGAGAGGGUGAUCGGCCACACUGGGACUGAGACACGGCCCAGACUCCUACGGGAGGCAGCAGUAGGGAACCUUCCGCAAUGGACGAAAGUCUGACGGAGCAACGCCGCGUGAGUGAUGAAGGCUUUCGGGUCGUAAAACUCUGUUGUUAGGGAAGAACAAGUGCUAGUUGAAUAAGCUGGCACCUUGACGGUACCUAACCAGAAAGCCACGGCUAACUACGUGCCAGCAGCCGCGGUAA
rnacentral:rRNA from 1 species